rnacentral:lncRNA from 1 species
GGGCUCCGCCUGCGCUCCCCGCCCGCCGCUGGGGCCUCAGUCGCGGCCAGCAGGCGGCCAAUCACCGCCCGGGCCCGGGCCGCCGCGCCCGCCACCCGCUCCCAGCCUCCGCCCCCAGCCGCAUGGGCCGCGCCACCGCCGGGGGCCGGGUAGGCGAGUGCGGGGCUGCGUGCGCUGCUCGCGGCGGCAAAGCAAGGGAACCCGCGGCCCUGCGGGAUCGACAGCUCAGGGAUGCUCACACCCCAUGACCCUCACGCAUCGCCACAUCCCCCUGCCGGGGGAGGGGCUCCGCGGCAAUAACGCGCCUUCUGAUUGGUCAUCCGUUGCCAUAGGUCCCCAUCGGCGGCAAUAACACGUCUCUUGAUUGGUUGAUUUGGGCCGACAGUUAAAGUACAGCUACCUACCAGGAGCGCGGGCAAACCAGCUCCGGCCACUGCGCAUGCUCCCCAGCUGGGCAGGCUGCGGACGCUGGAAGGGAGGUGGCGACUGGCGGAGCUAGGUGAAGAAGCUGUUACGAGUUACCCAGGUUUCAUUGGUACCUGCUGGCAAGCAUCUCACGUGGGCACUCCAGAAAGGAAAUUGUGUACCAGCCAAGAUGUAGCAAGCACUCGGGGCUGGCACUUUUGUGAUUUGCGAUUGUGCUUUUCUUGUGCCAACCCACAUUCCCCUGUUCCAAGUAAAGACUCUGUUACAGAGAUUUCCCUGGGGUGCCAGAGAGUGGUAUGUGGCUGCAACACUAAUCCCAUGCCUUGAUUUCACUGUGGACGAAGUAAGGGGCUACGGGAGGCAAAGUACUGUGAACCGGAAGUCACUGAUACACGAAGAGCCUUUCCAUCCUGAAAAAGAGAGUCCUCUCACUCAUUCUGUGUCUCGGAAAUUUAUCUGGAAAGAACGUAGGCUGUGGAAUCAGAGAGAUGGAAUUUGAAUCUCCCCUCUGCUACUUAGACGUGGGUGACCUUGGGCAAGUUACUUAACCCUUAAUAGCAGGCAUUUCUUCUUCUCCAAUAGUGGUUCUGCGGAUUGAAUGAGGUAAUUAAGGAAAGCGUCCCCACACAGAAAGGGGCCUGUUAGUCCCUUUCAUCUGUGCUACUAAUCUCUUAAAAUGCAGUUGACUUUUUAACCUCACUGUGACUUAACUUUCCUCAGAUCAUUGAUGGAAGAUGGUCAAGGAAUGCAAGUUCUGAUUUGGGAACAAUGUCUGGACAUUACAGGCUGACCUGAGCAGGGUGCUGACCCCAGCAAGCCCUAUGGGGCUGCACAAGGGAGAUGGAAGGAGGAGUCUCAUAAAGGGCCAGGGAGAGAGACUGGGAAACCACUCGGGCUUUGCAGUUUUGAGCAGGCGCCUCUUCGCAGGUAGCACCACUGGGUCAAGUCAAUGCUGAAGCCAGUAUAGGUGGGAGGGCCACCAGCCCCACCCAGUCUAUUUCUUUUUUUUUUAAUUUUUCUUUUUUAUUGACACAUAAGAUUUGUACUUAUUUGUGGGGCACAUGGGAUACUUUGGUACAUGCAUAGAGUAGGUAAUGAUCAGGUUAAGGUAGGAUAUCCACCACUUCGAGUAGUUACCAUGUGUGAUGGAACUAUUUCAAAGCCUUUUCUAGCUAUUUUGAAAUAUACAAUACAUUGUUAACUAGAGUCACCCUACUAUGCCAUUAAACAUUAG